CAGUAGCCGCGGUAACACGGAGGGUGCAAGCGUUAAUCGGAAUUACUGGGCGUAAAGCGCACGCAGGCGGUCUGACAAGUCAGAUGUGAAAUCCCCGGGCUUAACCUGGGAACUGCAUUUGAAACUGUCAGGCUGGAGUCUUGUAGAGGGGGGUAGAAUUCCAGGUGUAGCGGUGAAAUGCGUAGAGAUCUGGAGGAAUACCGGUGGCGAAGGCGGCCCCCUGGACAAAGACUGACGCUCAGGUGCGAAAGCGUGGGGAGCAAACAGGAUUAGAUACCCCUGUAGUCCCUGUCUCUUAUAC
rnacentral:rRNA from 1 species